GGAGGAAAAGAAACUAACAAGGAUUCCCCUAGUAACGGCGAGUGAACCGGGAAGAGCUCAAAUUUGAAAUCUGGCGUGCUCAGUGCGUCCGAGUUGUAAUCUAUAGAGUCGUUUUCCGUGCCGGACUGUGUCCAAGUCCCUUGGAACAGGGUAUCAAAGAGGGUGAUAAUCCCGUACUUGACACAAUGACCGGUGCUCUGUGAUACGUCUUCUACGAGUCGAGUUGUUUGGGAAUGCAGCUCAAAAUGGGUGGUGAGUUCCAUCUAAAGCUAAAUAUUGGCGAGAGACCGAUAGCGAACAAGUACCGUGAGGGAAAGAUGAAAAGCACUUUGGAAAGAGAGUUAAACAGUACGUGAAAUUGUUAAAAGGGAAACGAUUGAAGUCAGUCGUGACUGAGAGGCUCAGCCGGUUCUGCCGGUGUAUUCCCCUCAGUCGGGUCAACAUCAGUUUUGUUCGGUGGAUAAGGGCAGUUGGAAGGUGGCACCCUCGGGUGUGUUAUAGCCACCUGUCGCAUACAUCGGAUGAGACUGAGGAAUGCAGCUCGCCUUUAUGGCCGGGGUUCGCCCACGUUCGAGCUU
rnacentral:rRNA from 1 species